rnacentral:misc_RNA from 1 species
AGGUAUUUUCGCCGGACCCGGAUUCACCGGCCUUCGAUGUGGUGCAGAACGCGACCUGCGCGGAGUAUGCCGAUGUCGAGGCGCUCGAACUGUUCGCAUCCGAUGGCCGUCAUCACCUACGAAUUCGAGAACAUUCCCUCCUCGACCGCGAUGAUCCUGUCGGCCCGCCGCCCGGUGCUGCCGGAUCCGAAGGUGCUGGAAACCGUGCAGGACCGGUUCGCGGAAAAGAAUUUUGUGAGCAAGCUCGGCAUCGCCACCGCGCGCUAUGCCGAUGUCUCCUCCGCACAGGAAUUGAAAACCGCCAUCGGCCAGAUCGGGNNNNUGCUCAAGACCCGGCGCUUCGGUUACGACGGCAAGGGUCAGGUCGUGGUGCGCGAAGGCGA